UACGUAGGGGGCGAGCGUUGUCCGGAAUUACUGGGCGUAAAGAGCGCGUAGGCGGCUCGAUAAGUUCUGUGUGAAAGCCCCCGGCUCAACUGGGGAGGGUCGCGGAAAACUGUCGGGCUGGAGUGUCGGAGAGGGAAGUGGAGGUCCCGGAGUAGGGGUGAAAUGCGUAGAUAUCGGGAGGAACACCUGUGGCGAAAGCGGCUCACUGGACCAUAACUGACGCUGAUGCACGAAAGCUGGGGGAGCAAACAGG
rnacentral:rRNA from 1 species